rnacentral:rRNA from 1 species
UACGUAGGGUGCGAGCGUUAAUCGGAAUUACUGGGCGUAAAGCGUGCGCAGGCGGUUGUGCAAGACAGAUGUGAAAUCCCCGGGCUCAACCUGGGAACUGCAUUUGUGACUGCACGGCUGGAGUGCGGCAGAAGGGGAUGGAAUUCCGCGUGUAGCAGUGAAAUGCGUAGAUAUGCGGAGGAACACCGAUGGCGAAGGCAAUCCCCUGGGCCUGCACUGACGCUCAUGCACGAGAGCGUGGGGAGCAAACAGG